CCGGUCAGGAUCGUAGAAAAAUAUCCUGUUGGAGAAGAUGGGGACCUGAAAAAGAAGCACAUGGUAUGCCUUAAUUGGCUUCUAUCUGACAAGCCACUGGAUUUGGAAACUGAGCUUGCCCUAGGUUUUUUGGAUCAUCUGCUUUUGGGGACUCCAGCUUCUCCCUUGAGGAAGAUCUUGCUAGAAAGUGGUCUAGGAGAUGCUAUUGUUGGUGGAGGGAUUGAGGAUGAGCUCCUUCAGCCUCAGUUUAGCAUUGGGUUGAAGGGUGUUGCUGAAGAGAACAUUCAGAAGAUUGAAGAAUUGGUCAUGAGUACUCUAGAAGGCUUAGCUGAGAAAGGUUUUGAUUCAGAUGCUGUUGAGGCAUCAAUGAAUACAAUUGAGUUUUCUCUUAGAGAAAAUAACACUGGCUCAUUCCCUCGUGGUUUAGCGUUGAUGCUCCGCUCUAUUGUAUGAAGAAACUCUCAUUAACUCUAUCAUUUGUCUUGAUACUUUCUUUUUUCCUUUCUCCAACAAAGAAUGAGUUAUGUUUUUUCGGUGUGAUGUUUCAUUCAGGGUAAAUGGAUUUAUGACAUGGAUCCAUUUGAACCACUUAAGUAUCAGAAACCCCUUGAGGCCCUGAAAGCCAGAAUAGCUAAGGAAGGCUCCAAAGCUGUUUUUGCUCCUUUGAUAGACCAAUACAUCUUGAGAAAUCCACACCGUGUAACGGUUGAGAUGCAGGUUAUCAUCAUUGAUGCUGACAUCCUUUCUUUGACAAAAUAUAAUUUUAUGUGUCUGUUAAAUACGAGUGUUGUUUUCUUCAGCCUGACCCAAAGAAGGCUUCUCGUGAGGAAGAAAUAGAAAAAGAAACGUUGGAUAAAGUUAAAGCAAGCAUGACCCAAGAGGAUCUUGCUGAGCUGGCUCGGGCAACACACGAGCUACGGUUAAAGCAAGAAACUCCUGACCCGCCAGAAGCCCUAAAGAGUGUGCCCAGCCUCUCUCUACAAGAUAUUCCU
rnacentral:lncRNA from 1 species